UUUCCGUAGGUGAACCUGCGGAAGGAUCAUUCAUAAUGAAGUGUUUUAUGGCACUUUUUAAAAAUCCAUAUCCACCUUGUGUGCAAUGUUAGAUCUCGUCAAUCUUGGCGAGAUUUUUAUACAUCAACUCAUUCUUUAACUAAUUUGUCUGAAAAAUAUUAUGAAUACUUAAUUCAAAAUACAACUUUCAACAACGGAUCUCUUGGCUCUC
rnacentral:misc_RNA from 1 species